rnacentral:rRNA from 1 species
UACGAAGGGGGCGAGCGUUGUUCGGAUUUACUGGGCAGUAAAGGGUGCGUAGGCGGCGCGGUAAAGUCGGGUGUGAAAGUCUCCGGAGCUUAACUCCGAAACUGCAUUCGAUACUGCCGUGCUUGAGGACUGGAGAGGAGACUGGAAUUUACGGUGUAGCGGUGAAAUGCGUAGAUAUCGUAAGGAAGACCAGUGGCGAAGGCGGGUCUCUGGACAGUUCCUGACGCUGAGGCACGAAGGUCAGGGGAGCAAACGGG